CCUACGGGAGGCAGCAGUGGGGAAUUUUGGACAAUGGGCGCAAGCCUGAUCCAGCAAUGCCGCGUGAGUGAAGAAGGCCUUCGGGUUGUAAAGCUCUUUUGUCAGGGAAGAAACGGAUUUUCUAAUACAGAGAUCUAAUGACGGUACCUGAAGAAUAAGCACCGGCUAACUACGUGCCAGCAGCCGCGGUAAUACGUAGGGUGCAAGCGUUAAUCGGAAUUACUGGGCGUAAAGCGUCCGCAGGCGGUUUUGUAAGUUUGUCGUGAAAUCCCCGGGCUCAACCUGGGAAUGGCGAUGAAGACUGCAAGGCUAGAGUUUGGCAGAGGGGGGUAGAAUUCCACGUGUAGCAGUGAAAUGCGUAGAUAUGUGGAGGAACACCGAUGGCGAAGGCAGCCCCCUGGGUCAAAACUGACGCUCAUGCACGAAAGCGUGGGGAGCAAACAGGAUUAGAUACCCUGGUAGUCCACGCCCUAAACGAUGUCUACUAGUUGUCGGGUCUUAAUUGACUUGGUAACGCAGCUAACGCGUGAAGUAGACCGCCUGGGGAGUACGGUCGCAAGAUUAAAACUCAAAGGAAUUGACGGCUGAGAGUGCGACGACGACGACGACGGGAGGAGG
rnacentral:rRNA from 1 species